rnacentral:rRNA from 1 species
AUUAGAUAGUUGGUGAGGUAACGGCUCACCAAGUCGACGAUCUGUAGCCGAACUGAGAGGUUGAUCGGCCGCAUUGGGACUGAGACACGGCCCAGACUCCUACGGGAGGCAGCAGUGGGGAAUAUUGCGCCANGGGGGCAACCCUGACGCAGCAACGCCGCGUGCAGGAAGAAGGUCUUCGGAUUGUAAACUGUUGUCGCAAGGGAAGAAGACAGUGACGGUACCUUGUGAGAAAGUCACGGCUAACUACGUGCCAGCAGCCGCGGUAAUACGUAGGUGACGAGCGUUGUCCGGAUUUACUGGGUGUAAAGGGCGCGUAGGCGGACUGUCAAGUCAGUCGUGAAAUACCGGGGCUUAACCCCGGGGCUGCGAUUGAAACUGACAGCCUUGAGUAUCGGAGAGGAAAGCGGAAUUCCUAGUGUAGCGGUGAAAUGCGUAGAUAUUAGGAGGAACACCAGUGGCGAAGGCGGCUUUCUGGACGACAACUGACGCUGAGGCGCGAAAAGUGUGGGGAGCAAACAGGAUUAGAUACCCUGGUAGUCCACACCGUAAACCGAUGGAUACUAGGUGUAGGAGGGUAUCCGACCCCUUCUGUGCCGCAAUUUAAACACAAUAAGUAUCCCACCUGGGG